CAGCCGCCGCGGUAAAACGAAGGGUGCAAGCGUUAAUCGGAAUUACUGGGCGUAAAGCGUGCGUAGGCGGUGAGUUAAGUCUGCUGUGAAAUCCCCGGGCUCAACCUGGGAAUGGCAGUGGAUACUGGCUCGCUAGAGUGUGUCAGAGGAUGGUGGAAUUCCCGGUGUAGCGGUGAAAUGCGUAGAGAUCGGGAGGAACAUCAGUGGCGAAGGCGGCCAUCUGGGACAACACCGACGCUGAGGCACGAAAGCGUGGGGAGCAAACAGGAUUAGAUACCCCGGUAGUCCCUGUCUCUUAUAC
rnacentral:rRNA from 1 species